UGUGUGUUAGUGGAAGCGUCUGGAAAGGCGCGCGAUACAGGGUGACAGCCCCGUACACAAAAAUGCACAUGCUGUGAGCUCGAUGAGUAGGGCGGGACACGUGGUAUCCUGUCUGAAUAUGGGGGGACCAUCCUCCAAGGCUAAAUACUCCUGACUGACCGAUAGUGAACCAGUACCGUGAGGGAAAGGCGAAAAGAACCCCGGCGAGGGGAGUGAAAAAGAACCUGAAACCGUGUACGUACAAGCAGUGGGAGCACGCUUAGGCGUGUGACUGCGUACCUUUUGUAUAAUGGGUCAGCGACUUAUAUUCUGUAGCAAGGUUAACCGAAUAGGGGAGCCGAAGGGAAACCGAGUCUUAACUGGGCGUUAAGUUGCAGGGUAUAGACCCGAAACCCGGUGAUCUAGCCAUGGGCAGGUUGAAGGUUGGGUAACACUAACUGGAGGACCGAACCGACUAAUGUUGAAAAAUUAGCGGAUGACUUGUGGCUGGGGGUGAAAGGCCAAUCAAACCGGGAGAUAGCUGGUUCUCCCCGAAAGCUAUUUAGGUAGCGCCUCGUGAAUUCAUCUCCGGGGGUAGAGCACUGUUUCGGCAAGGGGGUCAUCCCGACUUACCAACCCGAUGCAAACUGCGAAUACCGGAGAAUGUUAUCACGGGAGACACACGGCGGGUGCUAACGUCCGUCGUGAAGAGGGAAACAACCCAGACCGCCAGCUAAGGUCCCAAAGUCAUGGUUAAGUGGGAAACGAUGUGGGAAGGCCCAGACAGCCAGGAUGUUGGCUUAGAAGCAGCCAUCAUUUAAAGAAAGCGUAAUAGCUCACUGGUCGAGUCGGCCUGCGCGGAAGAUGUAACGGGGCUAAACCAUGCACCGAAGCUGCGGCAGCGACGCUGAUGCGUUGUUGGGUAGGGGAGCGUUCUGUAAGCCUGCGAAGGUGUGCUGUGAGGCAUGCUGGAGGUAUCAGAAGUGCGAAUGCUGACAUAAGUAACGAUAAAGCGGGUGAAAAGCCCGCUCGCCGGAAGACCAAGGGUUCCUGUCCAACGUUAAUCGGGGCAGGGUGAGUCGACCCCUAAGGCGAGGCCGAAAGGCGUAGUCGAUGGGAAACAGGUUAAUAUUCCUGUACUUGGUGUUACUGCGAAGGGGGGACGGAGAAGGCUAUGUUGGCCGGGCGACGGUUGUCCCGGUUUAAGCGUGUAGGCUGGUUUUCCAGGCAAAUCCGGAAAAUCAAGGCUGAGGCGUGAUGACGAGGCACUACGGUGCUGAAGCAACAAAUGCCCUGCUUCCAGGAAAAGCCUCUAAGCAUCAGGUAACAUCAAAUCGUACCCCAAACCGACACAGGUGGUCAGGUAGAGAAUACCAAGGCGCUUGAGAGAACUCGGGUGAAGGAACUAGGCAAAAUGGUGCCGUAACUUCGGGAGAAGGCACGCUGAUAUGUAGGUGAAGUCCCUCGCGGAUGGAGCUGAAAUCAGUCGAAGAUACCAGCUGGCUGCAACUGUUUAUUAAAAACACAGCACUGUGCAAACACGAAAGUGGACGUAUACGGUGUGACGCCUGCCCGGUGCCGGAAGGUUAAUUGAUGGGGUUAGCGCAAGCGAAGCUCUUGAUCGAAGCCCCGGUAAACGGCGGCCGUAACUAUAACGGUCCUAAGGUAGCGAAAUUCCUUGUCGGGUAAGUUCCGACCUGCACGAAUGGCGUAAUGAUGGCCAGGCUGUCUCCACCCGAGACUCAGUGAAAUUGAACUCGCUGUGAAGAUGCAGUGUACCCGCGGCAAGACGGAAAGACCCCGUGAACCUUUACUAUAGCUUGACACUGAACAUUGAGCCUUGAUGUGUAGGAUAGGUGGGAGGCUUUGAAGUGUGGACGCCAGUCUGCAUGGAGCCGACCUUGAAAUACCACCCUUUAAUGUUUGAUGUUCUAACGUUGACCCGUAAUCCGGGUUGCGGACAGUGUCUGGUGGGUAGUUUGACUGGGGCGGUCUCCUCCUAAAGAGUAACGGAGGAGCACGAAGGUUGGCUAAUCCUGGUCGGACAUCAGGAGGUUAGUGCAAUGGCAUAAGCCAGCUUGACUGCGAGCGUGACGGCGCGAGCAGGUGCGAAAGCAGGUCAUAGUGAUCCGGUGGUUCUGAAUGGAAGGGCCAUCGCUCAACGGAUAAAAGGUACUCCGGGGAUAACAGGCUGAUACCGCCCAAGAGUUCAUAUCGACGGCGGUGUUUGGCACCUCGAUGUCGGCUCAUCACAUCCUGGGGCUGAAGUAGGUCCCAAGGGUAUGGCUGUUCGCCAUUUAAAGUGGUACGCGAGCUGGGUUUAGAACGUCGUGAGACAGUUCGGUCCCUAUCUGCCGUGGGCGCUGGAGAACUGAGGGGGGCUGCUCCUAGUACGAGAGGACCGGAGUGGACGCAUCACUGGUGUUCGGGUUGUCAUGCCAAUGGCACUGCCCGGUAGCUAAAUGCGGAAGAGAUAAGUGCUGAAAGCAUCUAAGCACGAAACUUGCCCCGAGAUGAGUUCUCCCUGACUCCUUGAGAGUCCUGAAGGAACGUUGAAGACGACGACGUUGAUAGGCCGGGUGUGUAAGCGCAGCGAUGCGUUGAGCUAACCGGUACUAAUGAACCGUGAGGCUUAACCUUACAACGCCGAAGCUGUU
rnacentral:rRNA from 1 species